rnacentral:lncRNA from 1 species
UGUGUGUGUACCACUGCUCACACACACAUAGCCUCAGGAAAGCCAGGAACAUUUCAUGACUGGCUGGAUAUGAAGCAAUUUUUCUCUCUACACUGAUAUAGAAAAAGAAAUAAUUUUUCUGGUCAUUAGAAAGCUGCACAUAAUUUUCUUGAAACAUUUUGCCACAUCUGGAGCCCUAUUUUCCUCUCCAUAUGCUGCUUAACUCUUAUUAAUAUCAAUGGGGGUUAUGCACACAUGUGGAGAAUAAAUUAGAUUCUUCAUUGUUUCCCUCUGAUAAAAUUAAAUGUUCUUUCCACAUGUUAAAAUUAACUCACAUACUCUUGUUCUCAGGGUAUUGGAAAUAGAGAGCAUUAGUUGCUAGUUAAAUCUUACAAUAUUUUGUCUCUUUAAAAAAGACUUUAUACUACUUCUUUUAGAAUUAGAAAGUAGUUGUCAAAAGCUUCAGUUAGGACUUGAGUUUUGUGACUAUUGAUUUCAUCCUUGGGCUGUAUGGAAACCUUUCUGUGUCAGUACGGUGCAUUAUUCAGACUAGAUUUGUGAUAGCAGUUUCUUCAUACCGAUAAAUGGCAAACCUCUUUUCCAUUCAAAUUUUUAUCAAUCAAUUCUUAUUUCCUUUUUUCCUAUUUACAGACAUUGGAAGACAAAUGUUUCUGUCACAGCCAGUAGUGGGACUGUCUCAACUCGUUUUCCUGUGAUGCCUGAAGACUCAUCUUGGAGGAGGCUGAGCAUUGAAGGAAGUGGGGCAGAAGUGCUGGGCAGCACAGGGACAGAGCUCAGGGCCAUCACCACCACGUGUUCAGGUGGGUUUACACCGUGGCUGUUCUCCUGCAUUAACAAGUGUUUUAUCGCUUCAUUAACAGAUGUCUUGACUUUUAUGAAGCUUUCCUUAAUUGUCCCAAAGAUGCUUUUAGCUG